CCAACCAAUCUUUCUCUCUUAGUUUUCUCUCUUCUCCCAUUUGAGAAUUCUUAAGGAAUUCUAUUUGUUUGUAAUACUUUGGAGAUAGUAAAGUUAUCAUCUGGUGUUAGUGCCCGAGGACGUAGGUAUAAUUUACCGAACCUCAUUAAAUCUCUUGUGUUCUUUCUUGUCCUAUUUUUCUUUCAAUAUUUGAGGGUAUAAUAGUAGUAUUUAAUUGUGCUAUUAAAUUACUAUAGAAGGGAUAUUCUGUCUAAGGAAAGACUUGGUAUUUAAGAGAUCCAUGUGAUCCACCUCUCUUCCCUGGGAAUUGAACUUUGUGUGAUUUUUUAGUACAAUAAUUUACACGCUUCCGACCCUAUUGGAACAACAAGUGGUAUCAAGAGCCGAAGGUUAAUCGUAGUAUGCUCUGUGGUUGCAGUUUGAACUGAUCUUCCACAUCAAAAAAGAUUUCCUUAGGUAUAUUGAAAGAUUAUGGAGAAAACGGUCGGUGUAGGAGCUUCAACAUCGUCCAUGUGGACAAGACCGACAAUUGCAAAUGCAAGACUGACCGUGGAGAUCUUUGAUGGCACGGGCCAUUUUGGUAUGUGGCAAAGUGAGGUUCUAGAUGCCCUUUUUCAGCAGGGUCUAGACAUUGCCAUUGAUGAAGAGAAACCAGAUGAUGUACAUGAGAAAGAUUGGAAGGCGAUCAAUUGGUUGGCAUGUGGCACAAUUUGAUCAUGCCUUUCUCGAGAGCAGAGGUAUGCUUUUUCAAAGGAGACUUCUGCAAAUAAGUUGUGGGUGGCACUUGAAGAAAAUUUUUUGAAGAAAAACAGUCAAAAUAAGCUCCACUUGAAGAAAAGACUGUUUCGCUUCACAUACGUCCCAAGUACCACAAUGAAUGAUCACAUCACCAAAUUUAAUCAGUUAGUCACUGAUUUGCUGAAUAUGGAUGAGACAUUCAAAGAUGAAGAUUUGGCUUUGAUGCUGUUGGGGUCACUUCCUUAGGAGUUUGAGUUUCUAGAAACUACUCUACUUCAUGGCAGAAGUGAUAUAUCUCUGAGCGAAGUCUGUGCGGCCUUAUACAGUUAUGAACAGAGAAAGAAGGACAAACAGAAAAACUCAAUCAGAGAUAUAGAAGCUUUAGUAGUCCGAGGUUGUUCAUACACUCGAAAGAAAACUCAAAAGGGGAGAUCAAAGUCAAAGUCCAGACUCGGGAAAGAUGAAUGUGCUUUUUGUCAUGAGAAAGGCCACUGGAAGAAAAAUUGUCCAAAGCUGAAGAAUAAGGGAAAAGCUGCUGUAGAUGCUUGUGUUGCAAAGCUUGAUACCAGUGACUCUGAACUAUCACUGGUUGCAUCAUCAUCGUCGUUCCAUUCAGAUGAGUAGAUAUUGGAUUCGGGUUGUACCUAUCAUAUGUCCCCUAACCGGGAGUGGUUCUCUGAUUUAGUAGAACUAAAUGGAGGAGUUGUUUAUAUGGGCAAUGACAAUGCCUGUAAAACUGUUGGGAUAGGUUCAAUCCAAUUAAAGAAUAAAGAUGGAUCAACCAGAGUUCUGACUGAUGUUCGGUACGUGCCCAGUUUGAAGAAAAAUCUCAUCUCAUUGGGAGCCUUGGAAUCCAAUGGUUCAGUUGUUACUAUGAGAGAUGGGGUUUUGAAAGUGACAUCUGGCGCACUUGUGAUAUUGAAAGGCAUCAGGAAAAAUAACUUGUAUUACUACCAAGGUAGUACAGUUAUUAGAGCAGUCGCUGCAGCUUCCGGCAACAAAGAAUUGGACUCAAUGCAGUUGUGGCAUAUGAAGUUGGGACAUGCCAGCGAAAAAUCCUUGCAAAUUCUGGCAAAGCAAGGAUUGUUGAAAGGUGCAAAGGCUUACAAAUUAAAAUUUUGCGAGUAUUGUGUUCUGGGAAAGCAAAAGAGAGUGAAAUUCGGUACUGCUAUCCAUAAUACAAAAGGUAUUUUGGAAUAUGUUCACUCAGAUGUGUGGGGGCCUUCCAAGACACCUUCAUUGGGAGGAAAACACUACUUUGUUACUUUUGUUGAUGUCUUUUCCAGAAGAGUUUGGGUGUAUACCAUGAGAACUAAGGAUGAAGUGCUUAGAGUUUUUCUUAAAUGGAAAACUAUGAUCGAAAACCAGACUGGCAAGAAAAUCAAGCGGCUUAGGACGGACAAUGGAGGGGAAUAUAAAAGUGAUCCGUUAUUCGAUGUGUGCCAAGAGUAUGGUAUUGUUUGACACUUCACAGUUAGGGAUACACCACAGCAGAAUGGAUUGGCAAAGCGUAUGAAUCGAACAUUGCUGGAGAAAGUUCGAUGUAUGUUGUCCAAUGCUGGGUUGGGCAAGCAAUUUUGGGCUGAGGCUGUGACAUACGCUGGCCAUCUUGUUAAUCGUUUGCCAUCAUCUGCAUUAGAAAGAAAAACUCCUAUGGAGGUAUGGUCUGGAAAAUCGGCUACAGAUUAUGAUUCCUUACAUGUGUUUGGAACCACUGCAUAUUACCAUGUGAAGGAGUCAAAGUUAGAUCCGAGGGCACAGAAAGCUCUCUUUAUGGGAAUCACUUCUGGAGUGAAGGGAUUUCGUCUUUGGUGCUUAAGCACAAAGAAAAUGAUCUGUAGCAGAGAUGUUACCUUUGAUGAAUCUGCCACAUUGAAAAAUGUAGCAGAUAAAGAUAUUCAGACGAGCAAUACUCUACAGCAGAUGGAGUGUACUCCAAAACAGGUGGAGUUUGAGCAGAUGGGGAUUUGCCCAGUUAAUAAGUCUAAUUCUCCAGCCACAAUGGAGGAAUUAGAGGUUGAAGAGGUUCUGACCCAAGAACCACUAAGUACACCAGAACCAGUUGCAGUUGCAAGGCCACGGAGAGAAAUUCGUAAACCUACUCGAUUUACUGAUAUGGUGGCCUACGCCCUUCCCGUUGUUGAUGAUAUUCUUAUCACUUAUCAAGAAGCAAUGCAAAGCUUAGAAAAUGAUAAAUGGAAAAACGCCAUGGAUGAAGAAAUGCAGUCUCUCCGGAAGAACAAUACUUGGGAGUUGGCGCAAUUACCGAAAGGUAAAAGGGCAAUCGGAUGCAAGUGGGUAUUCGCAAAGAAAGAUAGAUUUCCUAGCAAGAAGGAUAUUCGCUACAAGGCAAUAUUGGUAGCUAAAGGCUACGCUCAGAAGGAGGGAAUUGACUACAAUGAUGUAUUUUCCCCUGUUGUGAAGCAUUCCUCCAUUAGAAUUUUGUUGGCCUUGGUAGCAUAGUUGAAUUUGGAGCUAGCUCAACUUGAUGUUAAGACGGCUUUCUUGCAUGGUGAGUUAGAAGAGGAGAUCUAUAUGACUCAGCCCGAAGGAUACACAGAUGCUGGUGGUAGAAAUUGGGUUUGUAAGCUGAACAAAUCGCUAUAUGGAUUGAAGCAAUCCCCGAGGCAGUGGUACAAGCGAUUUGAUAGCUUUAUGAGAAGGCAAAAGUACACAAGAAGCAAAUAUGACAAUUGUGUGUAUUUGCAGAAGUUGCAUGACGGAUCUUUCAUUUAUCUACUCUUGUAUGUUGAUGAUAUGUUAAUCGCUUCGAAGAGCCAAAAAGAGAUAGAUAAGCUGAAGGCUCAGUUGAAUCAAGAGUUCGAGAUGAAAGAUCUAGGUGAGGCCAAGAAGAUUCUCGGCAUGGAGAUAAGUAGAGAUAGACAGAGAGGCAAGCUUUGUUUGAAUCAGAAGUAAUAUCUAAAAAAGGUAUUACAAUGUUUUGGUGUAAAUGAAAACACAAAACAUGUAAGUACCCCACUUGCUUCUCAUUUGAAACUUAGUGCUCAAUUAUCUCCGAAAACUGAAGAAGAAAGAGAAUAUAUGGCAAAAGUCCCAUAUGCUAAUGCAGUUGGGAGUUUGAUGUAUGCGAUGGUGUGUACGCGGCCUGACAUUUCACAAGUUGUUGGAGUUGUGAGCAGGUAUAUGCAUGAUCCUGGAAAAGGACAUUGCCAAGCUGUGAAAUGGAUUCUACGGUAUCUUCGAAAAACCGUAGAUGUUGGUUUAAUUUUUGAACAGGAUGAAGCACUUGGUCAGUUUGUAGUUGGAUAUGUUGAUUCCGACUUUGCUGGUGAUUUAGAUAAACGUCGUUCAACUACGGGGUAUCUGUUUACUCUUGCGAAAGCCCCAGUGAGUUGGAAGUCUACCUUACAGUCUACAGUAGCUGUGUCUACUACAGAGGCAGAAUAUAUGACAGUUACAGAAGCUGUUAAGGAGGCUAUUUGGCUUAAUGGAUUGUUGAAAGACUUAGGAGUUGUUCAAAGUCACAUAAGUUUAUAUUGUGACAGUCAGAGCGCUAUUCAUUUAGCGAAAAAUCAAGUCUAUCAUUCAAGAACCAAACAUAUCGACGUAAGAUAUCACUUUGUGCGAGAAGUCUUUGAAAAAGGAAAAAUUCUACUUCAGAAGAUUCCAACAGCAGAUAAUCCCGCAGAUAUGAUGACCAAGGUGGUAACAACAAUCAAGUUUAAUCAUUGUUUGAACUUGAUUAACAUCCUGAGAAUUUGAGCACCUUCAGGUGUAUGGCGCUCGAGAGUGCAUUUGAAGGCACUACAAAAGAUAGCUUUAUCGAAUUUGGGGAGUUGAAAGAAGUGUGUGAAGAUGUGAUUAUCCUAAUCAAAUCUUCAAGGUGGAGAUUGUUAACAUUAAUGGGAGACAACAUUAAUGGCAUACAAAGUGGUGCAAGUUUAGCACCCUAAAGUUGACUUUGAAAAAGUGGCAUGGGAUAAAUUUUUUUGGUCCUUGAGAUAAUGGGCUAUUUAUUGUUUGGUCCUUAAACCUCAACUAUAAAUAGGCCUUCUCAUUUCUCAUUUCAAUUCAUCCCAACCAAUCUUUCUCUCUUAGUUUUCUCUCUUCUCCCAUUUGAGAAUUCUUAAGGAAUUCUAUUUGUUUGUAAUACUUUGGAGAUAGUAAAGUUAUCAUCUGGUGUUAGUGCCCGAGGACGUAGGUAUAAUUUACCGAACCUCGUUAAAUCUCUUGUGUUCUUUCUUGUCUUAUUUUUCUUUCAAUAUUUGAGGGUAUAAUAGUAGUAUUUAAUUGUGUUAUUAAAUUACUAUAGAAGGGAUAUUCUGUCUAAUGAAAGACUUGGUAUUUAAGAGAUCCAUGUGAUCCACCUCUCUUCCCUGGAAAUUGAACUUUGUGUGAUUUUUUAGUACAAUAAUUUACACGCUUCCGACUCUAU
rnacentral:lncRNA from 1 species